UUUCUGUAAAGCUUUACGUACAAGUAAGCCCCAACUAUAAAAGGUAAUACGGAUAUUCAUUCAUUGUUUCAUAAUUUAUUUCAAUUUUGUGGUGGGAAAAUUGUCCUCGCCUAGCAAAUUUAUCGUGGGCAUAUUUUUGCGUGUGUCUUGGUGUUAUGUACUCAGGUGAAUAUAAUGUUUUUUAUGUUACUCUGAGUGUGUAUCCACACCGGAUAGCCUAAACACGGUGGGAAUCGAACCCGCGACCUUUGGGAUACUAGUCCAAUGCUCUGCCAACUGAGCUACGAGGUCAAGUCGGUUCGAGUGUGUGGUAUUUCGGAACUAAGUCUAGUACCUUCGAUACCAAUGUGUUCUUAUGGUCAUGAUAUUUUUUGUGCUGUCUCGUCCCCAGGCGCUAUAAAAAGAUUUCAGAUACAAGUCACUAUAUAAAAGGUUGACAUGAAGUAUUGCGUCACAUUAUAGUCGCGCAAAGGGGAAUGGGAUAUGAGCGUUCUGGUUAGCGCCUGGCCGAUCUUGUAUAAUAGCUGUCGAACAUAAAACAAGUAAACAGUAGAUCUAAAUAUAAAUGCCUUCAUGUACAUCACCAGAAAGAAAUAAAGCUAUCCUUGCCUGAAUUAUUCAAAAUAUUGUCGAUCGUUUGCAUCGUGAAAAUAAAACAUACUGCAUGUAAAUAAGCUCGUAACUGAAAUCCUGAGACGAACCUUGCGAACGCAAUACAAAAUAAAGUUUCAUCGCUCCUUUGUUUAAAAAACUUCAUGUAGCUGUAAAUUUUUAAAAUAAAUUCCUCAUUGUCAUUUUUCCAUACCUUGUACAGUUAUUAUAUUAUAUUCAAGUGUUGACAUCUCGGAAUCAUUUAAAGGGUGAAAUUAUAUCAGAUAUCAUCUGACUGUAAUCACAUGUUUAAUUGAACAAAUUGAAAUGUUAUUUUCUCAGAAAAAUGGCGAAAAAAGCCCACAAACUGUCGAAAACCCACGAUUUGCAAGAAACAGACGAAUUUUGCAAGAAUCGGCACAAGAUCUCCCAGGCGCUCCUCAAUUGUCGCUGCCUCAAGCCCAUAAACCCCUGCGCUUGUUGGUCGCGAUGCACUACUUCAUGUAAACAUUUCAUAUAGACCCAUUGCACAUGACGUCACAGCGCCGGUGACGAUGCAUCUGGAGGACAAAUUAGCAAUCUAUGCAUAAUAUAACUUUUGUAAACAAAGCAAAUUUUGUAAAAGUUUAUAAUAAUUUUGUAUUAAAAUGGUUAAUUUUUGCGCUGUAUGUGGUUGUUGUACCCGAACGGAUAUUGUUUAUACGGAGCAUCUGGAGGACACUCUAAGGAUUUGUGACGUCAGUGCAAUGGGUCUAUAGUGACUCGCAUGAAAUUUUUUACCAGCGUCUGGGGACGUGGCAGCCUUUUGUGUGUUUUGAUGUUAUGUACUCAGGUGAAUAUAAUGUUUUUGAUGUUACUCUGAGGGUUCACCGCAGGCUGAAAAGUUAGCCUGACCACGGUGGGAAUCGAUUAAUCGAACCCGCGACCGUUGGGAUACUAGUUCCGAAAUACCACACACUCGAACCGACUUGACCUCGUAGUUCAGUUGGCAUAGCAUUGGACUAUAGUAUUCCAAAGGUCGCGGGUUUGAUUCCCACCGUGGUCAGGCUAACUUUUCAACCUGCCCGGUGUGGAUAUACACUUAGAGUAACAACAAAAACAUUAUAUUCACCUGAGUACACAACAUGAAAACACACAAAAAUAUAAAAACCCAGAUUUCGUCAGCCUGUCUGUCGUACUGCAGUAGAGUAAAAAUAAAAGCAAGAUAGCAGACUUAAACGUUAACGACAAAGCAUUCAAGACCACAAUUACUUGUCGUAAUCAGGAAAUUCUUGUAUGAAACAUGGCCGAAAAUGAAAUUUCUUCCAUGAAGUGUGCUUUGAUGGCAAAU
rnacentral:lncRNA from 1 species